GAUGAACGCUGGCGGCGUGCCUAAUACAUACAAGUCGAGCGAAUGGAUUAAGAGCUUGCUCUUAUGAAGUUAGCGGCGGACGGGUGAGUAACACGUGGGUAACCUGCCCAUAAGACUGGGAUAACUCCGGGAAACCGGGGCUAAUACCGGAUAACAUUUUGAACCGCAUGGUUCGAAAUUGAAAGGCGGCUUCGGCUGUCACUUAUGGAUGGACCCGCGCCGCAUUAGCUAGUUGGUGAGGUAACGGCUCACCGAGGAAACGAUGCGUAGACGACCUGAGAGGGUGAUCGGCCACACUGGGACUGAGACACGGCCCAGACUCCUACGGGAGGCAGCAGUAGGGAAUCUUCCGCAAUGGACGAAAGUCUGACGGAGCAACGCCGCGUGAGUGAUGAAGGCUUUCGGGUCGUAAAACUCUGUUGUUAGGGAAGAACAAGUGCUAGUUGAAUAAGCUGGCACCUUGACGGUACCUAACCAGAAAGCCACGGCUAACUACGCGCCAGCCGCCGCGGUAA
rnacentral:rRNA from 1 species